AUUGAACGCUGGCGGCAGGCCUAACACAUGCCAGUCGAACGGUAACAGGAAGCAGCUUGCUGCUUUGCUGACGAGUGGCGGACGGGUGAGUAAUGUCUGGGAAACUGCCCGAUGGAGGGGGAUAACUACUGGAAACGGUAGCUAAUACCGCAUAACGUCGCAAGACCAAAGAGGGGGACCUUAGGGCCUCUUGCCAUCGGAUGUGCCCAGAUGGGAUUAGCUAGUAGGUGGGGUAACGGCUCACCUAGGCGACGAUCCCUAGCUGGUCUGAGAGGAUGGCCAGCCAAACUGGAAGUGGAACACGGUCCGGACUCCUACGGGAGGAGGCGGUGGGGAAUAUUGGAAAAUGGGCGCAAGCCUGAUGAAGACAUGCCGGGUGGAGGAAGAAGGGCUUGGAGUUGUAAAGUACGUUCAACGGGGAGGAAGGGAGUAAAGUUAAUAACUUUGCUCAUUGACGUUACCCGAAGAAAAAGCACCGGCUAACUCCGUG
rnacentral:rRNA from 1 species